AAGGAUCAUUACAGCGUUCCUGCCCUUACGGGUAGAAACCCCACCCUUGUAUAUACUAUAUUGUUGCUUUGGUAGGCCGCCUCACGGCGCCGGCUCACGCUGGCUCGUGCCUGCCAGAGGACCUUAAACUCUGAGUUAAAAUGUCGUCUGAGUACUAUUUAAUAGUUAAAACUUUCAACAACGGAUCUCUUGGUUCUGGCAUCGAUGAAGAACGCAGCGAAAUGCGAUAAGUAAUGUGAAUUGCAGAAUUCAGUGAAUCAUCGAAUCUUUGAACGCACAUUGCGCCCCUUGGUAUUCCGAGGGGCAUGCCUGUUCGAGCGUCAUUUUGACCAACUCCUACUCCGGUAGGGUCUUGGGCUUCGCCUCCGGGCGGGCCUUAAAAUCAGUGGCGGUGCCUUAAGGCUCUACGCGUAGUAAAUUUCUCGCGAUAGGGUCCUUGAGGUUACCUGCCAGCAACCCCCAACUUCUUAAGGUUGACCUCGGAUCAGGUAGGGAUACCCGCUGAACUUAA
rnacentral:rRNA from 1 species